AAUGAACGCUGGCGGCGUGCUUAACACAUGCAAGUCGCACGAGAACGCUUCAGCUUGCUGGAGCUAGUAAAGUGGCGCACGGGUGAGUAACGCGUGGGUAAUCUACCUCCGAAUUGGGGAUAACUCCGCGAAAGCGGGGCUAAUACCGAAUGACAUCUCAAGUUCCCAAAGGGACUGGGAUCGAAAGGUGGCCUCUACAUGUAAGCUAUCGUUGAAGGAUGGGCCCGCGUACCAUUAGCUUGUUGGUAUGGGUAACGGCCCUACCAAGGCUACGAUGGUUAGCUGGUCUGAGAGGAUGGCCAGCCACACUGGAACUGAGACACGGGUCCAGACUCCUACGGGAGGCAG
rnacentral:rRNA from 1 species